rnacentral:rRNA from 1 species
CAAUAGCGUAUAUUAAAGUUGUUGCAGUUAAAAAGCUCGUAGUUGGAUUUCUGGUGGGAGCGAUCGGUCUGGCGCUUAGCGCGAGUACUUGCAUCGUCUCCGGCCAUCCUUGGGGAGAGACUGUCUGGCAUUAGGUUGUCGGGCAGAGGAUCCUCAUCGUUUACUGUGAAAAAAUUAGAGUGUUCAAAGCAGGCUUAUGCCGUUGAAUAUAUUAGCAUGGAAUAAUAAGAUAGGACUUUGGUACUAUUUUGUUGGUUUGCGCACCAAAGUAAUGAUUAAUAGGGACAGUUGGGGGUAUUCGUAUUCCGUUGUCAGAGGUGAAAUUCUUGGAUUUACGGAAGACGAACUACUGCGAAAGCAUUUACCAAGGAUGUUUUCAUUAA